rnacentral:rRNA from 1 species
UACAGAGGGAGCAAGCGUUGUUCGGAUUUACUGGGCGUAAAGGGCGCGCAGGCGGGCGGAUAAGUCGGACGUGAAAAUUGUGGGCUCAACCUACAACCUGCGUCCGAAACUGUUCGUCUUGAGUACAGGAGAGGUGAGUGGAAUCAGUAGUGUAGCGGUGAAAUGCGUAGAUAUUACUGAGAACACCGGUGGCGAAGGCGGCUCACUGGCCUGAUACUGACGCUGAGGCGCGAAAGCUAGGGGAGCGAAC